UACGAAGGGGGCUAGCGUUGUUCGGAUUUACUGGGCGUAAAGCGCACGUAGGCGGAUCGUUAAGUCAGGGGUGAAAUCCUGGGGCUCAACCCCAGAACUGCCUUUGAUACUGGCGAUCUCGAGUCCGGAGGAGGUGAGUGGAACUCCUAGUGUAGAGGUGGAAUUCGUAGAUAUUAGGAAGAACACCAGUGGCGAAGGCGGCUCACUGGUCCGGUACUGACGCUGAGGUGCGAAAGCGUGGGGAGCAAACAGG
rnacentral:rRNA from 1 species